UUUAUAAUCUCAUUCUCGACCAAUUCAUCAUCUUCUUCGUCUAAACGACAUUGAGGUUGCGAAUUAAAAAGACCAGCACUGAAGAAGAACAAAUUUUCUGAACUGGAAUCAUAAAAUUGAGAUUUUCUGAACAACCACACCACCGAUUACAUAACGAUCUGGUGGGAGAGACGAAAGCAAGCAUCCAUUCCCUUGUUUAUUUUCGAAUCGAAAGUAUGGAGGAUGAAGGAUGGAGAGACUCAUCGGCGGGCAGACGAAUGAGGAGAGAGCAAAUCCAGUGAGACAAAGAGAUUGACAGUAAUUGGUGUGAGCGGCGGUGAGAUGAUGACGAGCAUAGAGAACUUCUUUCAUGAGACGGCGACGAUCCUUACAUCACCGUACAUAAUCUUCGUUAUCGAGCUGGGCUUAUUCUUCUCCUUCAAGUUUCUUCUAUGUUACGGUGGGGCGUGAAUCUCACGUGGCUCUGCUUAAGGAGAAAAACGUGAUAUAGCUGUUUCCAGAUUUUACCACUACACUGCUACUAACUACAUUGUACUCUCUAGUUUUCACAUAUUUACAGGCAAAAAUAAACAAAAAUAAGUGUCAUUAAAACCUGAACAAAUCUUAGCUUUUUC